AUUGCUUCUCGGCCUUUUGGCUAAGAUCAAGUGUAGUAUCUGUUCUUAUCAGUUUAAUAUCUGAUACGUCCUCUAUCUGAGGAAAAUAUAUUAAAUGGAUUUUUAGAACAGGGAGGUGGAAUAGGGGCUGCUCCAUCCACUCCACACAUCAACCUGGUAUUGCAGUACCUCCAGGAGCAAUGCACCCUCU
rnacentral:snRNA from 1 species